GACGAACGCUGGCGGCGUGCUUAACACAUGCAAGUCGAACGGUGAAGCACCUUCCUUUUGGUGGGUGUGGAUGAGUGGCGAACGGGUGAGUAACACGUGAGUAACCUGCCCCCUUCUUCUGGAUAACCGCAUGAAAGUGUGGCUAAUACGGGAUAUUCUGGGUCUGUCGCAUGGCGGGCCUGGGAAAGAUAUUGUUUCGGUGGGGGAUGGGCUCGCGGUCUAUCAGCUUGUUGGUGGGGUGAUGGCCUACCAAGGCGGUGACGGGUAGCCGGCCUGAGAGGGUGGACGGUCACACUGGGACUGAGACACGGCCCAGACUCCUACGGGAGGCAGCAGUGGGGAAUAUUGCACAAUGGGCGCAAGCCUGAUGCAGCGACGCCGCGUGAGGGAUGGAGGCCUUCGGGUUGUAAACCUCUUUCGCCAGUGAAGCAGGCCUGUCCCUUUUGUGGGUGGGUUGACGGUAGCUGGAUAAGAAGCGCCGGCUAACUACGUGC
rnacentral:rRNA from 1 species